CCUACGGGUGGCAGCAGUGAGGAAUAUUGGUCAAUGGGCGCGAGCCUGAACCAGCCAAGUAGCGUGAAGGAUGACUGCCCUAUGGGUUGUAAACUUCUUUUAUAAAGGAAUAAAGUGCGUCACGUGUGCCUUUUUGUAGGUACUGUAUGAAUAAGGAUCGGCUAAUUCCGUGCCAGCAGCCGCGGUAAUACGGAGGGUCCGGGCGUUAUCCGGAUUUAUUGGGUUUAAAGGGAGCGUAGGCGGGUUGUUAAGACAGUUGUGAAAGUUCGCGGCUCAACCGUGGAAUUGCGACUGGUACUGGCUGUCUUGAGUGCAGUGAAGGUAGGCGGAAUUCGUGGUGUAGCGGUGAAAUGCUUAGAUAUCACGAAGAACUCCGAUUGCGAAGGCAGCUUACGGAACUGCUACUGACGUUGAUGCUCGAAGGUGUGGGUAUCGAACAGGAUUAGAUACCCUAGUAGUC
rnacentral:rRNA from 1 species